rnacentral:rRNA from 1 species
AGUAAAUAGAUACCCAGGUAGUCCACGCCGUAAACGAUGAAUACUAGGUGUAGGGGUUGUCAUGACCUCUGUGCCGCCGCUAAACGCAUUAAGUAUUCCGCCUGGGGAGUACGGUCGCAAGAUUAAAACUCAAAGGAAUUGACGGGGGCCCGCACAAGCAGCGGAGCAUGUGGUUUAAUUCGAAGCAACGCGAAGAACCUUACCUAGACUUGACAUCUCCUGAAUUACCCCUAAUCGGGGAAGCCCUUCGGGGCAGGAAGACAGGUGGUGCAUGGUUGUCGUCAGCUCGUGUCGUGAGAUGUUGGGUUAAGUCCCGCAACGAGCGCAACCCUUAUUGUUAGUUGCUACCAUUUAGUUGAGCACUCUAGGGAGACUGCCGUGGUUAACGCGGAGGAAGGUGGGGAUGACGUCAAAUCAUCAUGCCCCUUAUGUCUAGGGCUACACACGUGCUACAAUGGCUGGUACAGAGAGAUGCUAAACCGCGAGGUGAGCCAAACUUCAAAACCAGUCUCAGUUCGGAUUGUAGGCUGAAACUCGCCUAC